rnacentral:rRNA from 1 species
UACGGGGGGAGCAAGCGUUGUUCGGAUUUACUGGGCGUAAAGGGCGCGUAGGCGGUCAGCACAAGUCAGUUGUGAAAUCUCCGAGCUUAACUCGGAAAGGUCAACUGAUACUGUGCGACUAGAGUGCGGAAGGGGCAACUGGAAUUCUUGGUGUAGCGGUGAAAUGCGUAGAUAUCAAGAGGAACACCUGCGGCGAAGGCGGGUAGCUGGGCCGACACUGACGCUGAGGCGCGAAAGCCAGGGGAGCGAACGGG